UGGGCAACCUGCCCCUCUCUCUGGGAUAACCCCGGGAAACCGGAGCUAAUACCGGAUACUCCGGCUGGAUCGCAUGGUCCGGCCGGGAAAGGUCCGCCGGAGAGGGAUGGGCCCGCGGCCUAUCAGCUUGUUGGUGGGUCAUGGCUCACCAAGGCGACGACGGGUAGCUGGUCUGAGAGGACGACCAGCCACACUGGAACUGAGAUACGGUCCAGACUCCGUACGGGAGGCA
rnacentral:rRNA from 1 species